rnacentral:rRNA from 1 species
GGGGAAGAGCUGUGAUAUUCCGGGUGACUUGUCGCUGACGAGUGGCGGACGGGUGAGUAAUGCUUGGGAAUCUGCCCAGUAGUGGGGGACAACACGGGGAAACUCGUGCUAAUACCGCAUACGUCCUACGGGAGAAAGUGGGGGAUCUUCGGACCUCACGCUAUUGGAUGAGCCCAAGUCGGAUUAGCUUGUUGGUGGGGUAAUGGCCUACCAAGGCGACGAUCCGUAGCUGGUCUGAGAGGACGAUCAGCCACACUGGGACUGAGACACGGCCCAGACUCCUACGGGAGGCAGCAGUGGGGAAUAUUGGACAAUGGGCGCAAGCCUGAUCCAGCAAUGCCGCGUGUGUGAAGAAGGCCUGCGGGUUGUAAAGCACUUUCAGUAGAGAAGAAAAGCCUAGGGUUAAUACCCCUGAGUCUUGACGUAACCUACAGAAGAAGCACCGGCUAACUCCGUGCCAGCAGCCGCGGUAAUACGGAGGGUGCGAGCGUUAAUCGGAAUUACUGGGCGUAAAGCGCGCGUAGGCGGCUAGGUCAGUCGAAUGUGAAAGCCCCGGGCUUAACCUGGGAAUUGCAUUCGAUACUGCCUGACUAGAAUAUGGGAGAGGGAAGUGGAAUUUCCGGUGUAGCGGUGAAAUGCGUAGAUAUCG